UUCCUUUUUUUAUUAUGGUCCAGCCAGCGCUAAACAUAUAAUUUUCUAUCUGGCAACCACCUAUAGUCCAAAUGGCAUGGUCUUGUUACACAACGUCAUCACGUUAGUUUAACGUGUCACUUAUAGCUUCAGUACUGCCUAAAUUUGCCUAACCUUAGCACUUUAAUAUCAUCGCAUGACUUCUUGUCCCCCAAACCGUUUUGGGCGCUGCCAAAAAAGGCGUCAGGAUUACGUAACUAGGCUCAUUAGCAUGACGCGUGUAGGACCAAAUGGGCCAUAGAAAAAUAAUUCAUUUCCAGCUAAAAUACGUGGCUACGAAUUGUAUGUUAUGAGUAACGUAGGGCUG
rnacentral:lncRNA from 1 species